rnacentral:rRNA from 1 species
GACGAACGCUGGCGGCGUGCUUAACACAUGCAAGUCGAACGGAAAGGCCCUGCUUUUGUGGGGUGCUCGAGUGGCGAACGGGUGAGUAACACGUGAGUAACCUGCCCUUGACUUUGGGAUAACUUCAGGAAACUGGGGCUAAUACCGGAUAGGAGCUCCUGCUGCAUGGUGGGGGUUGGAAAGUUUCGGCGGUUGGGGAUGGACUCGCGGCUUAUCAGCUUGUUGGUGGGGUAGUGGCUUACCAAGGCUUUGACGGGUAGCCGGCCUGAGAGGGUGACCGGCCACAUUGGGACUGAGAUACGGCCCAGACUCCUACGGGAGGCAGCAGUGGGGAAUAUUGCACAAUGGGCGGAAGCCUGAUGCAGCAACGCCGCGUGCGGGAUGACGGCCUUCGGGUUGUAAACCGCUUUCGCCUGUGACGAAGCGUGAGUGACGGUAAUGAGUAAAGAGGCACCGGCUAACUACGUG